GGCGAAAUGGCCGAGUGGUCUAAGGCGCUAGAAUCAGGUUAUCCGCUUGUUCGGGUCCACCAUCUAGUCUUUCGGGGCGUGGGUUCGAAUCCCACUUUCGUCA